GUGCCUAAUACAUGCAAGUCGAACGAAACUUUCUUACACCGAAUGCUUGCAUUCACCGUAAGAAGUUGAGUGGCGGACGGGUGAGUAACACGUGGGUAACCUGCCUAAAAGAAGGGGAUAACACUUGGAAACAGGUGCUAAUACCGUAUAUCUCUAAGGAUCGCAUGAUCCUUAGAUGAAAGAUGGUUCUGCUAUCGCUUUUAGAUGGACCCGCGGCGUAUUAACUAGUUGGUGGGGUAACGGCCUACCAAGGUGAUGAUACGUAGCCGAACUGAGAGGUUGAUCGGCCACAUUGGGACUGAGACACGGCCCAAACUCCUACGGGAGGCAGCAGUAGGGAAUCUUCCACAAUGGACGCAAGUCUGAUGGAGCAACGCCGCGUGAGUGAAGAAGGUCUUCGGAUCGUAAAACUCUGUUGUUAGAGAAGAACACGAGUGAGAGUAACUGUUCAUUCGAUGACGGUAUCUAACCAGCAAGUCACGGCUAACUACGUGCCAGCAGCCGCGGUAAUACGUAGGUGGCAAGCGUUGUCCGGAUUUAUUGGGCGUAAAGGGAACGCAGGCGGUCUUUUAAGUCUGAUGUGAA
rnacentral:rRNA from 2 species